UACGUAGGGGGCAAGCGUUGUCCGGAUUUAUUGGGCGUAAAGAGCGUGUAGGCGGCCAGGUAGGUCGGUUGUGAAAACUCGAGGCUCAACCUCGAGAUGUCGACCGAAACCAUCUGGCUAGAGUCCGGAAGAGGAGAAUGGAAUUCCCGGUGUAGCGGUGAAAUGCGCAGAUAUCGGGAAGAACACCCGUGGCGAAGGCGGUUCUCUGGGACGGUACUGACGCUGAGACGCGAAAGCGUGGGGAGCGAACGGG
rnacentral:rRNA from 1 species